rnacentral:piRNA from 1 species
UAAGCAUACUUACACUUGCCCUUGGGGUCC